rnacentral:miRNA from 1 species
UUCUUCUACUGCGCGAGGG